rnacentral:rRNA from 1 species
ACGAACGCUGGCGGCGUGCCUAAUACAUGCAAGUAGAACGCUGAAGAGAGGAGCUUGCUCUUCUUGGAUGAGUUGCGAACGGGUGAGUAACGCGUAGGUAACCUGCCUUGUAGCGGGGAAUAACUAUUGGAAACGAUAGCUAAUACCGCAUAACAAUGGAUGACACAUGUCAUUUAUUUGAAAGGGGCAAUUGCUCCACUACAAGAUGGACCUGCGUUGUAUUAGCUAGUAGGUGAGGUAAUGGCUCACCUAGGCGACGAUACAUAGCCGACCUGAGAGGGUGAUCGGCCACACUGGGACUGAGACACGGCCCAGACUCCUACGGGAGGCAGCAGUAGGGAAUCUUCGGCAAUGGGGGCAACCCUGACCGAGCAACGCCGCGUGAGUGAAGAAGGUUUUCGGAUCGUAAAGCUCUGUUGUAAGUCAAGAACGGGUGUGAGAGUGGAAAGUUCACACUGUGACGGUAGCUUACCAGAAAGGGACGGCUAACUACGUG